rnacentral:rRNA from 1 species
UAUUGGACAAUGGGCGCAAGCCUGAUCCAGCAACGCCGCGUGGGUGAAGAAGGUCUUCGGAUCGUAAAGCCCUUUCGACGGGGACGAUGAUGACGGUACCUGUAGAAGAAGCCCCGGCUAACUUCGUGCCAGCAGCCGCGGUAAUACGAAGGGGGCUAGCGUUGCUCGGAAUUACUGGGCGUAAAGGGCGCGUAGGCGGUCAUUUUAGUCAGGCGUGAAAUUCCCGGGCUUAACCUGGGGACUGCGCUUGAUACUGGGUGACUUGAGGGUGGAAGAGGGUCGUGGAAUUCCCAGUGUAGAGGUGAAAUUCGUAGAUAUUGGGAAGAACACCGGUGGCGAAGGCGGCGACCUGGUCCAUUACUGACGCUGAGGCGCGACAGCGUGGGGAGCAAACAG